GGAAGGAUCAUUACCGAGUGAGGGCUCCCUCGCGGGCCCAACCUCCCACCCUUGUCUCUAUUAUACCCUGUUGCUUUGGCGGGCCCACUGGGUCACCGGUCGCCGGGGGGCAUCUCGCCCCCGGGCCCGCGCCCGCCAGAGCGCCUAUCGAACCCUGAUGAAAUAGGCUGUCUGAGUGAAAUGAAAAUUGUCAAAACUUUCAACAAUGGAUCUCUUGGUUCCGGCAUCGAUGAAGAACGCAGCGAAAUGCGAUAAGUAAUGUGAAUUGCAGAAUUCCGUGAAUCAUCGAAUCUUUGAACGCACAUUGCGCCCCCUGGCAUUCCGGGGGGCAUGCCUGUCCGAGCGUCAUUUCUGCCCUCAAGCACGGCUUGUGUGUUGGGUGUGGUCCCCCCUGGUUUUAGGGGGGACCUGCCCGAAAGGCAGCGGCGACGUCGCGUCGGGUCCUCGAGCGUAUGGGGCUUUGUCACUCGCUCGGGAGGGACCUGCGGGCGUUGGUCACCUCAAUCUUCCACGGUUGACCUCGGAUCAGGUAGGAGUUACCCGCUGAACUUAAGCAUAUCAAUAAGCGGAGGAAAAGAAACCAACCGGGAUUGCCUCAGUAACGGCGAGUGAAGCGGCAAGAGCUCAAAUUUGAAAUCUGGCCCCUUUGGGGUCCGAGUUGUAAUUUGCAGAGGAUGCUUCGGGUGCGGUCCCCGUCUAAGUGCCCUGGAACGGGCCGUCAUAGAGGGUGAGAAUCCCGUCUGGGAUGGGCGGCCGCGCCCGUGUGAAGCGCCUUCGACGAGUCGAGUUGUUUGGGAAUGCAGCUCUAAGCGGGUGGUAAAUUUCAUCUAAAGCUAAAUACUGGCCGGAGACCGAUAGCGCACAAGUAGAGUGAUCGAAAGAUGAAAAGCACUUUGAAAAGAGAGUUAAAUAGCACGUGAAAUUGUUGAAAGGGAAGCGUUGUCCACCAGACUCGCCCGGGGGGGCUCAGCCGGCACCUGUGCCGGUGUACUCCCCUUCGGGCGGGCCAGCAUCGGUUUGGGCGGCCGCUAAAAGGCCCCGGGAAUGUAACACCCUCCGGGGUGCCUUAUAGCCCGGGGUGACAUGCGACCUGCCUGGACCGAGGCCCGCGCUUCGGCGAGGAUGCUGGCGUAAUGGUGGUCAACGGCCCGUCUUGAAACACGGACCAAGGAGUCUAACAUCUAUGCGAGUGUUCGGGUGUCAAACCCGUCCGCGCAGUGAAAGCGAACGGAGGUGGGAACCCCUUUGGGGUGCACCAUCGACCGAUCCUGAUGUCUUCGGAUGGAUUUGAGUAAGAGCAUAGCUGUUGGGACCCGAAAGAUGGUGAACUAUGCCUGAAUAGGGCGAAGCCAGAGGAAACUCUGGUGGAGGCUCGCAGCGGUUCUGACGUGCAAAUCGAUCGUCAAAUUUGGGUAUAGGGGCGAAAGACUAAUCGAACCAUCUGGUAGCUGGUUCCUGC
rnacentral:misc_RNA from 1 species